UACGUAGGGUGCAAGCGUUGUCCGGAAUUAUUGGGCGUAAAGCGCACGUAGGCGGCUUUGCAAGUCGGAUGUGAAAUCCCUCGGCUCAACCAAGGAAGUGCAUCCGAAACUGCAGAGCUUGAGUACCAAAGAGGAUCGCGGAAUUCCCGGUGUAGAGGUGAAAUUCGUAGAUAUCGGGAGGAACACCAGUGGCGAAGGCGGCGAUCUGGGUGGAUACUGACGCUGAGGUGCGAAAGCGUGGGGAGCAAACAGGG
rnacentral:rRNA from 1 species